GAUCUCCGGGGCCACCCGGUGGCGAGAAACGCGCAAGUGCACCCCCGGUUCUCUGCCUCGCGGGGACGGAUCUGGGACCCGAAGGCCCCAAUUGAGAACCUCGAUGCGGCUGCUGGGAACCUCAGUGUUUCACAUUGGUCCUUGAUUCACUUGUGUGAGGCUGUCAGUGAGGCCCAGGACGGAAAACGUAAAAGAAAGGCCGUGCACGGUGUAGUGGUUCUGCUUGAUGUUGGGCACGAUCAUCCAGCUGUCCGCCGAGUUACACAGACCUGCGGAGCCGAGGAGACAGGUGCCGUCACAGGCCACGUCUGCAGAAUGGCAGAUUAUUUGGACAUUGAACAUUGGAAAACGGAGAGCUUUCUGGCUUUUUAUGCGGCUUGAUCAAUAAAAUACUGCUCAGCGUGCUACCUCUA